CUACGGGUUGCACCAGUGGGGAAUUUUGCACAAUGGGGGAAACCCUGAUGCAGCGACGCCGCGUGCGGGAAGAAGGCCUUAGGGUUGUAAACCGCUUUCAAUUGUGAAGAAGGGAUGAGAGUUAAUAGCUUUCUGACUUGACGGUAGCAUUAGAAGAAGCACCGGCUAAUUUCGUGCCAGCAGCCGCGGUAAUACGAAAGGUGCAAGCGUUGUUCGGAUUUACUGGGCGUAAAGAGAUCGUAGGUGGUUUAUUAAGUCGGAUGUGAAAUCCCGGAGCUCAACUUCGGAACUGCAUUCGAUACUGGUAGGCUAGAGUUCGGGAGGGGAAAGCGGAAUUCCGUGUGUAGCAGUGAAAUGCGUAGAUAUACGGAGGAACACCUGAGGCGAAGGCGGCUUUCUGGAUCGAUACUGACACUGAGGAUCGAAAGCGUGGGUAGCAAACAGGAUUAGAUACCCGAGUAGUC
rnacentral:rRNA from 1 species